GUGUGCUUUUGAUACUGCAUAUACAAAUACAGGCAUUCAUCGUGGCGCUGGCGUAGAACUAGAGAAUCUUUUAGGGCGAAAGCUCAUUUGGUUGCCAUGUCGUCAUCACGUCAUUGAACUACUCAUUAAAGGUGUUUUUGAAGUAUACUGGCCAACGCAAAAUGGCCCAAAUGUUUCAACUUUUGGUAGAUUCAAAAAUAAUUGGAACAAGAUAGAUAAAUCAAAAUACAGUGCAGGAAUUAAUGAUCCUAUUGUUGCUAAAGUACUAUCAGAGAAAAAAGACGAAACAUUGGAUUUUAUUGAAAGUUAUUCGCUGAAAUAUCUUCCGAGGAAUGAUUACCGAGAAUUUUUAGAGUUAUCGUCAAUUUUUUUAGGAGUUAUUCCAAAAGAUAAUUUCACCUUUAAACAUCCAGGAGCGAUGAGUCAUGCUCGUUGGAUGUCGAAGGUAAUUUAUUGCCUGAAAAUAUAUAUUUUUAGGGGAGAAUUUAAGCUGACCCCUCAUGAAUUAACUAGUAUUCGCCAAGUAUGUAUUUUCAUAAUUGUCAUUUAUAUAAAAGCUUGGUUCACUUCACCUUCUGCUAUCUUAGCUGCAAAUAAUGACUUAAUUUUGAUGCAACAAUUGAUACUCUAUGAUAAAAUUAAUUCAUCUGUAUCAAAAGGAGCUUUAAAAAAAAUGAGCGAUCAUUUGUGGUAUUUAAGUGACAAAUUAGCCAUAAUUUCUCUAUUUGACGAUGCUGUAGAUCCGGAAGUAAAGAAAAAAAUGGUAAAAAAUUUGAAAAAUCGGAACCCUAUAAAAACUAAAGCCAGAAAAUAUGAAUUUGACUACAAAAACUUACAUGAAUUUUUACACAAAGAUGUAAGUGACUUCAUUUCAACAGAAUCGUUAACAAUUUUAAAAGACUUUGACUUGCCACAUGAAUUUUUAAGUG